rnacentral:rRNA from 1 species
UCCCGGCAGUCCAAGUCGCAGCCACAAUUAUUGGGUCUAAAACAUUCGUAGCUUGCUCUAUAAGUCUCUUGUGAAAUCUGGCGUCUUAAAUGCCAGGCGGGCAAGAGAUACUGUAAAGCUAGAGACUGGGGGAUGUAAAGAGUACAGCGGAGGUAGUGGUAAAAUACGUUAAUCUUCGCUGGACUAACAAUAGCGAAGGCACUUUACAAUCACAGAUCUGACAGUGAGGGAUGAAAGCUAGGGGCGCAAAAUG